UGUUGCAUCUCUUCUGCCACAUUAAGUGACAGCCACAGGUUCCCGGGAUGAGGACCUGGAUAACUUUUGGACAUUCGAGUUGUUCUUGCCCUGACACCUGCCCUAACCUCCUGAGAGCUCCAAGCUGCCGCCGGCCGGGGUGCGCCCAGUGUGGGCUGCGCAGCUGGUCCUUCUCUUGUGCGGGGCUGUUACCCCCGAGUCCCCGGACUUCCUGGCUCUGUCGUCUGUCCUUCCAAGUGACUGGUCGAAGUGUGUGCAAAGAUCCUGAGAUUCAGGCUUCGAGAAGACUUGCCGCUGUGGUUCCACAGCGCUGAUGUAUCAUGGACAUUCAACCCUCAGUCCAACUGCCACUAGCAAACUUGGGUGUGUGUCUCGUUGCUCAAUCUCGCUCUGGGAUUCGAUCCAGGGACACAAAUAAAGCCACCUUUCCAUCUUUGCCAGAGAGCAUACUUCAUUCUGUUUUCCGCUGUGAAGACUCGGCACCUGCAUGGCCUCCUCACACUUGCCCCAAGUAGGAGUGAGUGCUGCACUCAUGCAAAUCUCUCAGCGCAACAAUGAACUGAACAGGGCGUCUCCCCUGUGCUGGGAAUGAACAGGACCUAAAAGAAUCCAUCUUUCCACACAUUUUUAAAGAUUGAUUGAUUGAUGACACGGAGAUUGAGACAGAGACACACGCAGAGGGAGAAGCAGGCUCCCUGCAAGGAGCCUAAUGCAGGACUCGAUCCCAGACUCUGGGAUCACAACCUGAGCCAAAGGCAGAUGCUCUACCACUGAGUCACCCAGGCAUCCCACUUUCCACACAUCUUAUAUAGAAGCACCUCUCCGGGGACAGCCUCCUCCUUGCCUUCCCUCGCAAUAAACCAGCCCACUGCUUUUCAAUAACGUGCUAUAAAUCUUUGGAUGUUAGUCUUUAUGUGUCCAUUCCAUCUGCCAGAUGAGGAGGUCUUCAAAGUCUGGGGGCUUUCCAAGCACCAAGCCAUGGCCCUCUUUCCUUCAGACAGGAAGCUCCCUGCAUCUCAUAUUCCUCUGUCCCCCAGGUCACAUUUUGAGAAGCUGUAAAAAAAACUUGUCCCUUUAAUUCUAACCAUGCAGAUGAUGCCAGGACACUGGAAGUGAGCAGGGAAAGCCACUGCAAGGGAAAAGCUCUGUUAGCAGCUGAGAGGCCAAGGAAUUGCCCCCUAUCCCCUCUUCAGAGCUGAAAACUCAGAUGGCACUUGCUGUGGGCUGACAGGGUGAGGUAGUAAAUGACCUGCAUCUCAUUCCCUAGCAUGUGGCUCAGGCCCUGUGGAAUGCAAGAGGCUCCAUAAGUGUGUGUUGAGUGAAUGAAUGAAUGGAUUAUGAAUAUGUGGAUACAGAGGGCCCAUCCCAGACACCAGGCC
rnacentral:lncRNA from 1 species